CGGGUGAGUAACGCGUGGGUAACCUGCCUUAUACAGGGGGAUAACAGUCAGAAAUGGCUGCUAAUACCGCAUAAGCGCACAGAGCUGCAUGGCUCAGUGUGAAAAACUCCGGUGGUAUAAGAUGGACCCGCGUUGGAUUAGCUUGUUGGUGGGGUAACGGCCCACCAAGGCGACGAUCCAUAGCCGGCCUGAGAGGGUGACCGGCCACAUUGGGACUGAGACACGGCCCAA
rnacentral:rRNA from 1 species